GUGCUGUAGCUGAGCGCCCACAGGCACCGAUUGUCUGCAGGACUUGUACUGUACCUUCGCUUCGUUUCAGCUCUGUUAUACAGUGACGUUUGUACGUGGGCUCCUGCAAGAAGAGCAGGCUGUUUUGGUAAGGAAGCAGAUUUAGUUCACAGUUUCUUAUUAUAGAAAACAGAGAGGGGAGGGAGGCACUUGUUUAAAAGCUGGAAAGUGUCUUAGCUCUUUGUUGUGCCCCUUAAUCUCCUUAUUUUAUUUAAAACCACUUCAGCAGCUGCAGCUCCUGCUUAAUUUGGAGAACAAAACCUGAGCAGUUCAACUGGCUGGGGACACUGGAGGCCGCAAGUGGAAGGGAAACCCGCGCUGAGGGCGAGUCCUUUCUUCUCCUUAAUGCACAACUUAUUGUGUGGGUUAUUUUUAGUGCUGUAAUCUUGCUGAGUGCUGCUGAGAGAAACUGUGCCAGGCGGGCUGGCAGGCUUUGAAGGGUCUGAGAAAUGGGAUUUCCUGUUCCACCGGCUCAGAGCUGACUCUUGCUAUUGUCAGGAGCUAUUAUCGCCUCCUCGCAGCCAAGGCAGAUAACGCAGCUUCAAGGUCAGGGAAGACGCGGGCUCUGAGCGGCAGCCCUGGCGGUAGGAAGAGUACGCGUGCGGUCAGGGUGUUUCUGCCGCUGCUGCAGCUCAGGGCACUGCUGGGAAGAUGGCUCUGCCUGUGGAUGGCAGAAGCGCAGCUGAGGUCGGAUGGGGUUCCUGCUGGCUGUUCCCAGCCCUGCUUGCGACUUCACAGGGCAACCAGUCCCUGACGUGCCUGCGGGGAGAUGAGGGAGAUUCUGGUUCCUCACUCCUCGUUCCCCCCUCCUGCUCUCUACUGUGGCUCCUGCCCUCCUGCUGAGCAUCACCUCCUGCUCAGACACGAGAGAGACUGGCAGGCAGCAUUUCUCCCAUGCUGCUCACAGCAGGUCCGGGGAAGGGGCCGGCCUUGAGGUAGGGGGUGCUUGCAGAUCUAACAACAAAAAACAGUGUACCAGAAAAAGCAGUUACUUUACAGUAAAGUUUCAUAUGCUCUAGAAAAGGUAUUCACAUUGAGACAGUGACUUCUGUCUGGAUAAAUCCUCUGUGAACAUCUUCAUUCAUAAAGUACAGCCAGCCUCCGGAGUGGACGAAAUGAGGCUGAAGCAAGGCCCUCCUGACCCGACACCAGGGUGUGCACCCUGCAGUUAACUGAAAUCAGGUUUUGGUGUAGUCCUGUUUGUGACUGUUCUCUCCAUCAGGCCUUGUUAUGUAUAUAAAUGGGAUAGGACAACAGUGAUUUCUGCACUCUGAAGCAGAAGCUUGGCAGCAGUUUGCUGCAGAGUUGAUAGUUGCAUUGGCAGUUCUACUGGAGCUCUGUAAGUUAGGAAUGCUUUGAGGUUGUGAAAAAUGCCAUUUUCUUAGCAUUGUUUUUUCAAAUGGAGUCCUGAUGGAGACUUUCAUAUCACUUAUGGGCGCACACAUUUAUGCAAGGCUCCUGACCUGUGUCUCUGUGCAUCAGUGCAGUGCAGAGGGAUGUUUCUCUCUCCCCAGGAGCAUUCAGUUUUAGCACUGAUUUGCACAGUGAGAGCAUAAAUAGGCACGAACUGGUGAGAGUUUGUUUACUUUGGGUCUGAAAUGUGCUCCCAAUAUCUGGCCCCCGCUCCUGUGCUGUAAGCCAGCGUUCUGGUGUGUGCCUGCUGCUCUUUCUGCUGUGAGCCUCCCUUCCAGAGGGCUUUGAGGAGCAUGAGUAGAAGUGUGGUACAAGCAGUAGGUAAUUGUGUUCAGCUAUUCCUGCUUCAUUGCAGCUGAGGAGUAGAGAGCAGGCGUUUUGUCUGAAAUGCAGUGGCUUGGGUCCCCGGGGUUACUGGCUCCAGGUGGAGCCAUCUUGGUGUGAGCCAUUCACGUGCUGUACGUGACACAGGAGCUAGGCUUGUUCUUUGGCUUGCACCGGGGGAACUCAGAACUGGCCCUGGGGUGGGCCUGCAGAGAGAGAGGCUGCAGCCAGAUGUGUGUGUCUGUGGAUGUCCUGGUGUUAAACUGCUGAACUUUACUCUCCCGCAGGAAGCCAGAGCGCAGAUUCAAAUAGCAGUUAGCCUUACCCAUUGGGUUUGGAGCACAGCAAUGAUGGUAACUUUGUCAGUAAUUCAUGCAGGGGGUGAAUGAGAGCUUCACUGGGCUAUAGGUAAAUAAGAGCAGGUAUCUGAGGGCAAGAUAGUACCGCUCUCUUCCCUUCCCUGCCCCUUGCCUUCCAUUGAAGUGUAAACUGGUAAGCUUGUGGAGGGGAGGCUGAAUAGCUCAUCCCUUACUGUACAGCCAGCUUGGUACCGGUGGAUUUCUCAGACCAGCAGUACUAGUCCUGGGUGGAACAACUGAGGGAGUGUCCCAGCAAGCCCCUUGAUGCAGAGGCUGGAUGAAGAAUUGCAUUCAGAGCAGGCACAGCUCUGUGCUGCUGCUUCCUCGUGGCUGUGCUUAGCUUCUCUUUGGCUUCCAGGGCUUGCUGCUGCGAGGGACUGAGCUCAGUGCUGAUGGUGGAGGAGCUGAUGCUCAAUCUGAGACCAAAUGGUUGCCUCAGCCACACUGAGAUAACAGUGGGUUGUGGCCAAAACAGAACCUGUUUGCUGCUGCAUUCUGUGGGCAUAUUUUCUUGUGCUUAUUUAUCAACUAUGUAUCUAUAGCUGUUUUCCACCCAAGGUCCUGCCUGUGGGUCAGGAGGGUGACCUGUGGAGGUGGCACCGCACGGCCCUUUAUCUGCCUUCCUCAGUUAUCUGCCUUUCCUAGUUAUCAUUUAUUUACAAGGAAUGACUCAGCAGCUGUUGACUGGGCAGAUACUGCUCUGUGCACCUUAGCCAGGUCUGGCAGCAGGAGGAAAGCUUGGAGCUGCCCUCAAGGCUUCGCCACUGCAGCGUGCAGGGCAGGGGUGCCGGGAGCUCUGGGGUUGCACAGCAGGUCCGGCUGCAGGGCUGGAGCUGCCUCUCAGAAGGGAUGUGCCUGUUGUGCUGUUGCUAGCAGUGCUGGUGUGCUUGUACGUUUAUUUGUAAGGGUGGUGUUUGCAGUGCCUGUGUUCUACCUGAUGGGAAACUUCACGGUGUUGGGGUGCAGCUGAAUGAGGAGGCAUCUAGGAGAGCUGAGGUCUGUUUUGUUCUUCUGAAGCUGUUAAUCUUGGUGCUUUUCCUCACCUUAUGCUGGCUUUUUAUCAGGCUUAUCAGGUGCUCUGUGUGGACUAUACGGGCUCAGCAAAGGAUUGCCACUUACUCUGAGAAUAGGUGCAUGGCUGGGUCCCCUGGGUGCUUCUGUUCUCCAAAUAAUGAAUACUGGAAAAGAUCUCUUUUCUCUGUUGCUGAGUGCAGUGGGAUGGGGAAGCUGAGCUUCUGGUGGUGUGCAGCCCGGUAAGUCCUGCAGCAUUCCCCGGAGCUGCCGAAAGCUGAGUGUGGGAUGUGGUUGCGCAGCCAUAGCUGGCCCGGCUCCAGGCUGACGUGCUGCUGACGCACUCUGCUGGAUCUGCUGCCCUCACCCGCUGAUUUGCAGGCGCUGAAAUACGCCGUGUGGGGCAAUGCUGCCUGCCGUGCUGCUGCCUCACAGGUGCCCCAAGAGGAGGUUCCCGUGCGUGGAUUGAGUUUUGAUCCUGUAGGAGGGCUCAUCUCUCUUUCACGUGGUUCUGUGCUCCUGCGCUGUUGCUGCUCCCGUUGCCGCUCCCAUUACUGCUGCUUCCGCUGCUGCUGCAGAGGACCUCUGUGAGGUCGUCCAUGAUGGUGGUCUCUUUAAGGUCCACCAGGUUGAACUCCCUGAUGAAUAGGAUAAAAUGUGUGUAGAGCGUGUUUAAGUGUCCGUGCAGCUCCAGUGCCAAAGUCUCCUUAAAGUGUGAGGAGUAGAUAUGGGCCAGCACGUGGAACAGGUACUUGCAGAUCUUCUUCACUAAGGACUCAAAUGAGUUCGGAAAUUCUUUGCCUGAAAGGAAGACAGAAACACGGUAGCAGUUCCAGCCAGUCACCUCGAGUCCUACAGCAGCAUUUAUUCUGGCAAACCUGGUCCUGAAAAACCAUGUUCUUAUUUAAUCUUUGGAGGGGAAUGGAGACUAAACAAUCUGAGGAAGAAAAAGCCACAUUAGGCAAGGAAGAGGAGCCGUGUUGCUGGCAAUGCAAUUUAUUUUCCACUUAAUGCAUCAGGGCUCUAAAAGAAAAGCAUCUACAAAGAGCCAUAUGAAGCACCUGUCCAAAGGUAAGCGUACCGUAUUUUGUUGGAAAGACGUCCUCAUCUGUCACAAGUUUCUGCACUGAGCUCAUGACGAAGUCAACGUACUGAGGAGCAGUGCAUUUGAUCUUCUUCCCCCGCUCGUCAUACCAGUAGUACUGUCUGUGGAGAGAACCAACAGCGUCACAACACUGCACCUUGGAUCCUGAGCUGAACUCCUAAGAGAGCUGUGAACACAACGUGGAUGGAUCCUGGAGAAAGGGAGGUGGCCCUGGCAUUCCAUGACAGCACGGUAAGCAGCUCCCACUCACGCUGAAUUAUCUCAAGGCUGGGGCCACCAAAGGGCGCAGUGGGGCACAGAAAGCAAACUGCAGUGCACUGCUGGCAGUGUGACAAUACCGUGCCAUGGUAGGCAACAAAGGAGAAGCAAAAAGGACACGAAAACAGACAUUUAAAAGCAGUUAUAAAAAAAAAACUGCUCACAUUACACAGAUUUUGAUUUAGGCAAUGUUGAGCUCUUGCAGUGGGGACGUGGAAUGGAGAUCACAGCUCUGUCAAAAAUGGCAGGAAGAAAUGAAGAAAGGACGUAACAGAAAAAAAACCUAUUACAAAAACAAUAAAAAGUGUAACAAGAACGAAGUGAGCCACGGUGCCACUAUUAAGGGGUGUACAUUAAGGGGCCUGUGUAAGAAUGUGAGUGUCUGUGUACCUGCAUGGGAGGCUGCUAUGAGUAUUUGUGUCUGUAGCCAAUGAUCACUAAAAGGGUGUGAGAGUGCGUGAGUGACAUCCAGUCAUUAUGUGUGGGAGUGCAGUGCUGCGUGGUCCUCUGUCACUGUGUGAGCGAGGUGUGUGUGUGGCUAACUGUCACUAUGUGUGUGAGUGCAGUGCGUGUGUGGCUGUCCAUCACCAUGUGUGUGAGUGUGGUGCAUGUGCAGCUGUCCGUCACUAUGUGCGUGAGUGUGGUGCCUGUGUGGCCCCCCCUCACUAUGUGUGUGAGUGCAGUGUGUGUAUGGCCCUCCAUCACUACGUGUGUGAGUGCAGUGCGUGUGUGGCUGUCCAUCAGUAUUUGUGUGAGUGUGGUGCCUGUGUGGCUGUCUGUCACACCGUUUGUGAGUGUGGUGCAUGUGGGGCUGUCCAUCACUACGUCUGUGAGGGUGGUGUGUUUGUGUAGCCCUCCAUCACUAUGUGUGCGAGUGUGGUGUGUGUGACUGUCCGUCACUAUGCGUGAGUGUGGUGCCUGUGUGGCCACCUGUCACUAUGUGUGUGAGUGUGGUGCCUGUGUGGCUAUCUGACACUAUGUGUGUGAGUGUGAUGCGUAUGUGGCUAUCCGUCACUAUGUGUGUGAGUGUGCAGCUGUGUGGCUGUAUGUCACUGUGUGUGUGAGUGUGGUGCUGUGUGACAGCUGGUCGCUGGGUGUGUGAGGGUGCGCCAGUAUGGCUGUCUGUCGCUGUGUGUGUGAGUGCGGUGUGUGUGGCCCUCCAUCACUGUGUGAGUGUGGAGCUGCGUGACAGCCACGAUGUGAGAGUGUGCGCCUGUAUGGCUGUCCGUCAGUAUGUGUGUGAGUGUGGUGCCUGUGUGGCUGUCUGUCACAAUGUGUGUGUGCGCCUGUAUGGCUGC